UGUGGUAUGAUUUACAAUGAGACAACUGUCCACAAGAGACAAAACGACACAGAAAUUAGAAUAUACAAAAAUAUGAAAUACAAAAAGAGGUUGAUCUUUUGCUCUUUUAACAUGUUCAUGUUUAAAGCUAACUAUAUGGUAUGUGUUUUCUCAUUAUUGAAUGACUUGCAUAUCUUACAUUAAAAUAGUUGACAUCCUUGUAGUUGUUGAGAUUUUUGUUGGAGAGUUGUCUCAUUGGCAUUCAUACCGCGUCUUCUUGUUUUUAUAUUAGUAUAGAUAAUUACUUUCUGCGGAAGAGCAGAUUUUUGCAGCCUAUUCAAUUAUUGACAAAACACUAAAAUUGAGAAUGGAAAUGGGGAAUGUGUUAAAGAGACAACAGCCCGACCAAAUAGCAGACAACAGCCGAAGGCUGCCAAUGGGUCUUCAGUGCAGCGAGAAACUCCCACAGAUCCGAAAACUGUGCUCUAGCUACAAAUAUUACGUCAUUCUUUUAUCAAGUUUCUGAGAAUAAGAUUACGGAAAUAUUUGUUUGAAUGACAAGGAGAUUGCAAUAUUUCUUCCAAGAGUUAGGUAUAAUGAAAUCUUGAGUUUGGUUACUUCCUGUUUUUGAAUCUCUGUCUUAUUAAAACGGAUAUAAUACUGGAUAUAUAUUGAUCACAGAUAAUGUGGUGGCAACAAACAGACCCAAUUGAACGGCAUCUGAAAUCUAGCAUAAACAUGUUAAACUAAUGAAAUAUUCUUCAAAGUUUACACCUUCAAUUAUGAUAAGCAAUGUACAAUUUGUAAUUGUAAUUGACAUGCAUGUGAUCGAAAAAAAAAUAUUAGUAAAAUGAUUAAAGAUGGGAAAUU
rnacentral:lncRNA from 1 species